rnacentral:rRNA from 1 species
UUUAAAUUUAUAUCUUGACCUCAAAUCAGGUAGGACUACCCGCUGAACUUAAGCAUAUCAAUAAGCGGAGGAAAAGAAUCUAACAAGGAUUCCCCUAGUAACUGCGAGUGAAGCGGGAAAAGCUCAAAUUUUGAAUCUGGCGGUCUUUUAUUAGCCGUCCGAAUUGUAAUCUAGAGAAGCGUCUUCCGCGCUGGACCGUGUACAAGUCUCCUGGAAGGGAGCAUCAUAGAGGGUGAGAAUCCCGUCUUUGACAUGGACUACCAGGGCUUAUGUGAUGCGCUCUCGACGAGUCGAGUUGUUUGGGAAUGCAGCUCAAAAUGGGUGGUAAAUUCCAUCUAAAGCUAAAUACUGGCAAGAGACCGAUAGCGAACAAGUACCGUGAGGGAAAGAUCAAAAGAACUUUGAAAAGAGAGUUAAACAGUACGUGAAAUUGCUGAAAGGGAAACGCUUGAUGUCCAGUCGCGUUGAUUAGGGGUCAACCAUCUCUAAGUUGGUGUAAUUCCUAGUUGACGGGUCAGCAUCAGUUUCGGUCACCGUACAAAGGCGAAGGGAAAGUAGCACGUAAGUGUAUUAUAGACCCUCG